GACAGAGGGUGCAAACGUUGUUCGGAAUUACUGGGCGUAAAGCGUGUGUAGGCGGCCACGUAAGUCGGAUGUGAAAGCCCUGGGCUCAACCCAGGAAGUGCACUCGAUACUGUGUGGCUUGAGUACUGGAGAGGUUGGUGGAAUUCUCGGUGUAGAGGUGAAAUUCGUAGAUAUCGAGAGGAACACCGGUGGCGAAGGCGGCCAACUGGACAGAUACUGACGCUGAGACACGAAAGCGUGGGGAGCAAACAGG
rnacentral:rRNA from 1 species